UACGGGGGGGGUAAGCGUUGUUCGGAAUUACUGGGCGUAAAGGGCUCGUAGGCGGCCAACUAAGUCAGACGUGAAAUCCCUCAGCUUAACUGGGAACUGCGGUCGAUACGGGCAUCACUGGAGUUCGGCAGGGGAGACUGGAAUUCCUGGUGUAGCGGUGAAAUGCGCAGAUAUCAGGAGGAACACCGGUGGCGAAGGCGGGUCUCUGGGCCGAUACUGACGCUGAGGAGCGAAAGCGUGGGGAGCGAACAGG
rnacentral:rRNA from 1 species